rnacentral:sRNA from 1 species
UUGAAUAUAAUAUACAUUAGAAGUAAGGAGAACUUCAAAAAGUACGAUAAUCUGCUUGAAAUAGAAAAAAGAUUUUAUUUUGAUUAAAACAACACUUUUAUGAUUGCAUAUAUAGAUAACUUUACAAGGCAAAAUAUUGCACAGCGAGAAGAAAUCAGCAUUCUUGGUGGAACCCUCAAUGAUCUGGCUAAAGAAAAGGAAUGCCUGCAAGCAUGUUUGGAUAAAAAAUCUGAGAAUAUUGCAUCCCUUGGAGAGAGUUUGGCAAUGAAAACAGUGUACUGAGGCCCUAAUGGUGUGUGAACAAGACGUUUCCAGAAUGCGUCGGCAAUUGGAUGAGACAAAUGAUGAGCUGGCCCAGAUCGCCAGGGAAAGAGAUAUCUUGGCUCAUGACAAUGACAAUCUCCAGGAACAGUUUGCUAAAGCUAAACAAGAAAACCAGGCACUGUCCAAAAAAUUGAAUGACACUCAUAAUGAACUUAAUGACAUAAAACAGAAGGUUCAAGAUACUAAUUUGGAGGUUAACAAGCUGAAGAAUAUAUUAAAGUCUGAAGAAUCUGAGAACCGGCAAAUGAUGGAACAACUUCGAAAAGCCAAUGAAGAUGCUGAAAACUGGGAAAAUAAAGCCCAUCAAUCAGAGGCAGAUAACAAUACCCUCAAACUGGAACUUAUCACUGCUGAGGCAGAGGGUAACAGAUUAAAAGAAAAAGUAGAUUCCCUCAACAGAGAGGUUGAGCAACACUUAAAUGCAGAAAGGUCUUACAAGUCCCAGAUUUCUACCUUACAUAAAUCUGUUGUAAAAAUGGAAGAGGAGCUUCAGAAGGUUCAGUUUGAAAAAGUGUCCGCUCUUGCAGAUUUGUCUUCUACUAGGGAACUCUGUAUUAAACUUGACUCAAGCAAAGAACUUCUUAAUCGACAGCUGGUUGCUAAAGAUCAAGAAAUAGAAAUGGGCCAUCCAGAGUAGAGAUGUGGCCCAGUUCAGAAAUGUUGUCACACAAUUGGAAGCUGAUUUAGACAUUACCAAAAGACAACUAGGAACAGAGCGCUUUGAAAGGGAGAGGGCCGUACAAGAACUUCGCCGCCAAAAUUAUUCAAGUAAUGCUUAUCAUAUGAGUUCUACAAUGAAGCCAAAUACAAAAUGUCAUUCACCAGAACGUGCUCACCAUCGAUCUCCUGACCGAGGCCUAGAUCGAUCAUUAGAAGA